rnacentral:rRNA from 1 species
UGGCGGACGGGUGAGUAACGCGUGGGAACAUGCCUAUUAGUUGGGGACAACCUGUGGAAACGCAGGCUAAUACCGAAUACGUUCUACGGAAUAAAGGGUGCCUCUCCCUGGAAGCAUUCGCUGAUAGAUUGGCCCGCGUUGGAUUAGCUAGUUGGUAGGGUAAAGGCCUACCAAGGCAACGAUCCAUAGCUGGUUUGAGAGGAUGAUCAGCCACACUGGGACUGAGACACGGCCCAGACUCCUACGGGAGGCAGCAGUGGGGAAUAUUGGACAAUGGGGGCAACCCUGAUCCAGCAAUGCCGCGUGUGUGAAGAAGGCCUGAGGGUUGUAAAGCACUUUCAAUUGUGAAGAAGGGUAUCAAUUUAAUAAAUUGGUACAUUGACGUUAACAAUAGAAGAAGCACCGGCUAACUCUGUGCCAGCAGCCGCGGUAAUACAGAGGGUGCAAGCGUUAAUCGGAAUUACUGGGCGUAAAGCGCGCGUAGGUGGUUUGAUAAGUUGGAUGUGAAAUCCCCGGGCUUAACCUGGGUCGGUCAUUCAAAACUGUCAGACUAGAGUAUGGUAGAGGGUAGUGGAAUUUCUAGUGUAGCGGUGAAAUGCGUAGAUAUUAGAAGGAACACCAGUGGCGAAGGCGACUGCCUGGACUGAUACUGACACUGAGGUGCGAAAGCGUGGGUAGCGAACAGGAUUAGAUACCCUGGUAGUCCACGCUGUAAACGAUGACAACUAGACGUUGG